rnacentral:lncRNA from 1 species
UCCUUGCGGCUCUAGUCAACAUCUGGCCCGAAGCUGGCGACCUUUUCCUGUUUCUCAGGGAACUCCCUGGGGUUGGCCGGUACCAUGGAGGAAGAUUGUCUUCAGCGUGCAGGGCCAGCGUCCUACGGCAGUUUCACUCUGAGCCUGUGUCUGGAUCACGGAGACGCGGGGUAGCGGUUCGGAGUGCGGAGCAGGGAUGUCCCCGAGCUGUGCAGCUGCAAGAACCCGAAAAAACAGGCGCCAUCUUCUCGGCGCGGUCCUACUCCGGACUGUAUUUCCCAGAGGCCCCCGCGAGUCCAGGGCAGCCCCUUCAUUUGCCUGCUGGACCCUCCGCCUCAAGGGUAGGGGAAGUGCGCGGUGAGCGGCCUGGGUCUUGCAGGCUCGGCUGGGGCCCGCAGAUAGUAGCUGUAGAUCCAAAAUGACCUCUG